CCCUUAGAUGUCCUGGGCCGCACGCGCGCUACACUGAGUGUCUGAGAUACGAGUCUGCCUGGUCCGGCAAGGUCUAGGUAAUCGCUAAAAGACACAUCAUGCUUGGGAUAGAUUAUUGCAAAUAUUAAUCUUGAACGAGGAAUUCCUAGUAAGCGCAAGUCAACAGCUUGCGUUUAUUACGUCCCUGCCCUUUGUACACACCGCCCGUCGCUACUGCUGAUUGGAUGUUUAAGCGAGGUUCUCGAACUGCUAGCGACUUAGCUUCGGUGAGGUCGCAGUGUGGGAAGUGAACCUAGCUUUGGUGUCUAGAGGAAGUAAAAGUCGUAACA
rnacentral:rRNA from 1 species